CAAGAGCGUUAUUUUUUAGUAUUAAUUAUUUAUUAUAAACAUUGAAAUUUACAGUUAACUAGAAUUUGGGUAAUAAACUAGAAAACUAAAUUUAGUAAAUAUAACACAAGUUAAUAAUUCAGUUGUGUGUGCAAAAUUUCAAAACAAUUAUCGAUACAUAAUCCGACAUCGCAUUUUCUGUAUUCCCUUAUUUUUCACACAAACAACACAUUUUCUUCUUGAUAAUUAGAUGCGACUGUCCGCGAAACAGGUGUUCGGAAAAAUUGAAAAACGCAUACAUGCGUCCUUAGUCCAUGCCGGGCACUUACAGAAAACGCAUAUAUAUGUCCUUAGUCCACACCGAUAGCUUUCGCCAGACGCCUAUAUGCGCCCAUAGCACUCUAAGGGUUAAAGA
rnacentral:misc_RNA from 1 species